rnacentral:rRNA from 1 species
UCCUGGCUCAGGAUGAACGCUAGCUACAGGCUUAACACAUGCAAGUCGAGGGGCGAGCAUGGAGUUGCUUGCAACUCUGAUGGCGACCGGCGCACGGGUGAGUAACGCGUAUCCAACCUUCCCUAUAGUAGAGGAUAGCCCGGCGAAAGUCGGAUUAAUACUCUAUGUUUUCCGUUGCAGACAUCUAAGAUGGAACAAAGGCUUGCCGCUAUAGGAUGGGGAUGCGUCUGAUUAGGUAGUCGGCGGGGUAACGGCCCACCGAGCCAUCGAUCAGUAGGGGUUCUGAGAGGAAGGUCCCCCACAUUGGAACUGAGACACGGUCCAAACUCCUACGGGAGGCAGCAGUGAGGAAUAUUGGUCAAUGGGCGAGAGCCUGAACCAGCCAAGUAGCGUGCCAGGACGACGGCCCUAUGGGUUGUAAACUGCUUUUAUGCGGGGAUAAAGUUCACUACGUGUAGUGUUUUGUAGGUACCGCAUGAAUAAGGACCGGCUAAUUCCGUGCCAGCAGCAGC